rnacentral:lncRNA from 1 species
UCUGCCUUCAGGAAGAAAAGCAAUAACAGAUACCAGUACAUGCCACUGAGUCCUCUUCUAAGCCAUGGCUCAGAGUUUGAAUGUUUUACAUUAAUGACCCCUGCAAUAAACCAUGAAUUUGUUUUCUGAUUAAGUAGAAAUGGGGAAGAGGAACAGAACCUAUGGUUCCUGUCUGUAGAGAUUGUGCCCUAAAAGUGUUGAAUUCCCCAACCUUUUUACUUUGGUUGAACCAUGACUCACAGACUCCGGGAAUCAACAUACCACUGAUGCGAAAUGAGGAUGCCUGGAUGGAGGCACAUAAUGUGUACUGUGUUAGUUAAGGACCUGUACAGAGCCUGCGGUGUUUAUUCUGCUUAAGCCUGAUGGGUUGAAUGAGAAGCAUGUUCCCUUGGCAGGUCCUGUGCCGUUGAAUUCUUUCUGUGCGU